rnacentral:tRNA from 1 species
GCCGACAUAGCUCAAUUGGUAGAGCAACUCACUUGUAAUGAGAAGGUUGGGAGUUCAAGUCUCUCUGUCGGCA